UUAGAGUUUGAUCCUGGCUCAGAGCGAACGCUGCGGCAGGCCUAACACAUGCAAGUCGAACGCCCGUAGCAAUGCGGGAGUGGCAGACGGGUGAGUAACACGUGGGAACGUGCCCCUUCGGUUCGGAAUAACCCAGGGAAACUUGGGCUAAUACCGGAUACGUCCGCAAGGAGAAAGAUUCAUCGCCGGAGGAUCGGCCCGCGUCCGAUUAGCUAGUUGGUGGGGUAAUGGCUCACCAAGGCGACGAUCGGUAGCUGGUCUGAGAGGAUGAUCAGCCACACUGGGACUGAGACACGGCCCAGACUCCUACGGGAGGCAGCAGUGGGGAAUAUUGGACAAUGGGCGCCAAGCUCUGAUCCAGCCAUGCCGCGUGGGUGAUGAAGGCCCUUAGGGUUGUAAAGCCUCUUCGGCGGGGAAGAUAAUGACGGU
rnacentral:rRNA from 1 species